UAAAUUCAAAUGGUCACAGACACAAGAUCAGAACAGGGAACAAAGUUAGAGGUUGUUUUUUUAAGGGCACCUGCCUCCUUAUCACUGUAUGCUUCUGGAAUUCCUACUCCUUUCCAGCUGGCAGUUCUCCUGUCUGUGUUCAAACACCUCCAUUAAAGGCAGACUUCCAAUGUGAUUCAUUUCUGGAAAGUCCUGAUUGGUUGAGCCUUCUCACUUCACAUUUGAUCCUACCCUGAUGGGCCACACGGUAAAUAUUAAUUCUUCAUCUACAGCCGGUAGCAUUUGAAGUAAGCUGUUAUAUCCCCCAGAACAUUUUCUUUUGACCAGGUACUUCAGAUAUUCUGCAGAUGAUGAAGCCAUGAGUCCUCUCGUUGAUUGCUCUGGUCACUCUCUUCCAAACACAAAUCUUAUCCUGCUUACUUCCUUUUUAAAGCAAGGAACCUGUAUGGAGGAGAACUACAUUGGUAUAUAUGACAUGACAGGCUGGUCGUGGAGUAGCAGCUGGAACCUGGGUCGCCUGAAGAUGAGAUAAGACCAGCUUCCACUGUGCUGGUAGCAGAAUCAAGACCAGUGCUCAAGUCGAAGUGACAUUCCUGGAUCCUUCUCAGAAUCAAGCUCUCUCUGCUCCCUGCCCUUUGCCCACACCUUUACCUGGCCCAUCUUAAUCAACGUUGUAUUAAAAUGAUGUGCAUAGGAAUCUCGCUUUCCCCAAUUAAGUGGACAUCUAUCACUUGUGGUCUAGUGUUUAAUCUCUCUUAUUUUAGUAAAUUUCCCCCGGCAGGCCAUUCUUCCCACUAGUUUUGUGGUCGGGAAGGAUUAGCUCCACCUCCAGAGUCUUCGGCAUGAGCUGAUUAUCCCUCCCCUCUGCAAUUGUUUCAAAGAGGGGCACACAAUCUAAGCUGAGCCAGUAAGCUCUGAGGAGAUAUUUUCUGUAAUUCCUGGAAAGAAAUGCCUUCUGUCCACCACUGGUUUCAAUCAUGUGUGGCUGCUAUAGACAUUUUUUAUCAGGAGGGAGACCAGCUAGAGACUGAGGACAACCCAGGAAGGAGGCACAGCUAAAUGAUGCAAAGAAAUUAAGUCUGGAUGUUGUUAUUUGAGUCUGUGUAUCAAAAUGAAACUGAAGCCAGUUCAAUCCUUGGACAAUAACCUAGAGUGAUUUAUUCAGGUCUUUCUCUGAAAAACAAAUAAACAAAAAAUGAAUGCUCACCUAACAUCUGCAAAGCUAAAUAUGCUGACGAGCUCCCUCCAAGAAUGAUAGACUCUUGCAAAGGCAAAUUUCAUUCUUCAAACCAGAUGGCAGAAACUUACUUACCACUCUAAAAAUGGUAGCUCUUUUGAGCUUAAGAAAAUCUUAAAACAGAGCCUCCAGGAGGGAUUAUAUAAGGAGAGUUUUCAUAGGGUAUUUGACUAUAUUUUCUCAAAGAAUCUUCCUAACAAACAUUUUUGACAGGUUAUUACAGCUCCCAGAUUACAAAUGAAAACAUGGAGACCCUGUGAAAUUUAGAGCUAUGGACUAGAGACAAAAGCUCCAGACAGUAAUGGCCCGGGGCCUUUCCCCAGUGUAGACCGUGAUUUGGCUGCAUUAGUUAGACUGACUCUGGCUCUCCCUGUUGUUAUGAAUAGUUGUUACGAAAACAUAGACUCCAGAAGCUCUUAUGUCUGGCUCAGUCUGAGAACUUCACAUGGUAAAAAGGUAAGAUAAAAAUGUUUUCAUAAUGAGUUUACUCAACUCUUGCAGACAGACGGCUAGCCGGGUGACCUGUUUGCAGAUGGUUCAUUUUAGCCUCUAGAAUCAUCUCUCCAAGCACUCAGGACUCUUCCUGAUGGACACUUUCAGGAAUUAAACUCUAAGUUCCUUAUUAAAGGCCCUUUGUUCCCUGUGUUUGGAUAUGGUUGAACCAUAUCCUCAUUGGUUCAACACUCUUGGCAUCUUAAGCUAAGUUCUGGACUGGUUAUGGCAGUAAUACUAGACUAUAACUGCCUGAAGGGAGAUGCCAUGUCUGGCUCCCUCAUUUUUAUGCCCUCACUCAGCUCAAAAUAUGACACCAAACAUGCAUCCCACUUGUUUAAGAAAUGAAUUUCUGAAAAUUGAUUCAGGAAUGUCAAACAAGAUUGAAAACUGAGUUGAGUUGAUCAAGUAAGAUUUAUGUAAUAUAAUAAGAGACACCAGAGUUGAAAGGGAGUGUUGAGAAUCGGAGAUGAAAUGGAUUGUAAUGGAAAGAAAACAGAAGAAUAAAAAAAAACCCAUAAAUAUACAUCUUCAUUUGUGAUUCCCUAGCUGAGGGAUUUGGAAAGCCAUUGAAUCAUCCUGGAUAUUGUUUUCUGUGUCUAUAAAAGGGGCUAACGACAUAGAGUGGAUUCACAGAGUCGUUAUGUCAGAUAAAAUGGCAUAUGUAAAAGUAUUUUGCAUAUUUCUGGACACUAUAUAGUUCUGAUGCGGAAAUUAAGGAAAGGAAAUGGCAACCCAAAUGUGAGUUGAAAGAGAACAAUUGAUUUAGAAACUAAGCAAAUAGAGGGCUCUUCCUCAAUCAACCCACUUUCAUUUAUUGAGGAAUCUGGUACAUUCACCAGUUGAUGUCAAGUUAAGGAACAUGCAUCUCUGAAAACUUUCCACGUUUUGCUGGGCUGGGCCACAGUGUCCCCUCCACUGACAACAAGAGUAGUAGGGGACAAUGGUGGCAGGGGCAAGGCUACACUAUACUCUCACCUUCCUGACUGCAGAGGCUCUGCUGAGACAGCUCUUUUAACCUGAAGAAACCCCAAAUAGGCCGAUUUUGAAGACCCCAGGAACACGCUGACUCUGAGUUCUUGAGCUCAG